UUGUUAAUUGAACUUUAUAUCCCAUUAGUGUUUUACAAUUUUUUGAUUGAAAUAGAUUAAUUUAUUGAUUGAAUUUUGUCAAAUUUUGGUUGAAAUUCUCCACUUUUCUGUCCUUUGUUUCUUCCUCUCCAUCCUAGAUUAGAGGGGAUGUAUCCCAUAAUUCCUAACUAGUGUAGGGUUCAUUAAUUCUGAUGAUUUGAAUGAGUUUGCAAUGAAAACCAUUUUUAUAUUUUGAUUUGUAUUAUUUGGGUAAG
rnacentral:misc_RNA from 1 species